GCUAGCUGGGGACUGGUAGCAGUUUUGCUAGUUUGAGCCUGCUUAGUAAGAAGCGUCCACCAUUUGUGUGCUCACCUGUGACACAACCAGCCUCACGGGUCACGGCAGGAGUCUCUUCCUGUUUGAGGUGUCAGCUACCCAGAGGGAUGAUGAGAAUACCACGUUGGAUGGUAAAUGAACAAGACAGCAAUAUGUUAUAACAAGGACACAAAAACACUUCAGUACAGCGAAACGGCGCCAGGACGAAAAGGCACGGUCACAGGAGUGAAAUAUGUGUGAGUGAAUUAAACAUUUGUUGUGUUGAUCAUUAAGGUUGAUCAUUAAAAUUCAAACGAAGGUUUGAACUUUUUUGAGAGUGUUUAAACAAGAGAGAAAUGUGAGAACAUGUUAUUGCUUGUUGGAGAAAAGUGUAUAAAGUGUAUGUUGAGGGGUUUUGCAGCCUUAAAACAUAUAUAAAAAUUGUAAAAAAAAAAAAAAAAGAAGGCGUUUCUCUGAGCCGCGUCUAUAUAAUCCAUACUGCUUGCCUGUUGUAAUUCCAUCAAUGAAUUACCAUCAUAUGUUAACUUGUGUUCGCCUCACUGCAAGUUGUGAGGCCGGACUUGACUAUUGAAGGUCGUGCUUCCGGAGCCAAACAAACUUUUGCAUGUCACAGCACGCAACAAUGGUGCAUUCAUGGGCUGCUGACCAAAGUGCGAAAUCUCAAAGCGUGAUGGAAAAACAUUAAAAGUGUAAGCAUAAAAACAUAAACGUGUAAAAAUUGUGGGCUUAUUUAUGCAGUGGUACGCUGUACGUUUGACCUCUAUUAUCACAUAUAAAUUGGUAUGGUGACUGAGAUGCGUUUUCUGUGGAAAAAAAUGAUUUUUUUUUUUAACCAAAGAUAUGCAAAUCUGUGGGGCCGUGAAUGCUGAAUCACAGCGAGGAUCCAGUGUACUUGUUACAGCAAGAUACCACAAUAAAAUCUAAACUAAACUUUGAGUAGCGGAAAGAAGGUAAGUGUUAGAAAAUGAAUGGCAGUAUUGAUGCUUUAUGCUGACAGAGGACAGCCAUGCUGACAUGUUUCUGGCUGCUUUUCGUCAUUAGACAAAGUUAAAGUGCAGGGAUGACGGCCCUAGCGUUAAGUCGAGCCUCUCUUAAAGCACAGGAACAUACUUGGUCGGACUGGCUGGCUCACAUUAAGCGGUUGUGAACAUA